GAGAGGGCAUGAGAUUCAGUCCCUGAGAAACUUUUCAAAAAUGUGUCUUGUAAAUCAGGACAAUAAUUGGGCUCCCCUCUUCAACUGGCGCUAAUCAUGCCCCCAUAAGGCUGAGCCACAGAGGAGAGACUUGAAGACCAGGAUAGAGAAAGUCAUUCCAAUAACCCCCUAACUUGGGACCAGAUGAUCUCCAUGCCAUGGCCAGGGAAAGUCCAAGGGCAGAAGCACCUAAGACAACUAUCGGGUCAUCAUCAUCAUCGAUAAAUAGAGUGUCUUGGAGACUUUCUAUAUGCCAGGAUGCUGCUAAGCUUUUUAUGUGAAUUAUUUCUUUGGAUAGUUACAACAACAAUGAGGUAAGUUUAUAAACUAAGGUUUAGAGAAGUUAAGCCAAGGUCACAUGGUUUGGAAGUAGUGCAGCUGGAAUCCAACCAAGGCAGUCUAACUCCAAACUCUUAACCAAUAGGUUAAGCAGCAGCAACCCUUGGGAAGAAGUGCUAGCCAGUGGAGUAAUCAACUGUGAAAGGUCUGCUUCCUUCUGCGUGCCUUCGCCUCCGGCCUCAUCCCUGCACAAUGGGAACUGACAAAAGAAUUUUUGCCCAUACUACCUUCCAGGUAGUGGAAAGGAAACCCUGGCCCGGGUCCUAUCGUGUCCUUCAGGAAGAUGCAUGAAGGAGAGACAGACCUGGCUCACAGCAGCUGUCAGCCCUGCGCUGAAAAGCAGCCCUCUCCAGGGAGGCGUGCCUCGGCUCCCCUACCCCUGAGAUGAAAUAAUGGCUCAGACAAGGGGUUUGAAGCCAUCAAUGGACUGACAGCAUAAUACCCAUGACUUGCACAGUGUGUGUCUCUCAGCUGCAGAAAUAAGGGCAGGAUAAUUUUAGCUCUGCGUGUCUUAGCAGGGCUCCAUCUCUCCUGCCACCAAGCUGGCUCCAGACAGAGGCCAGUUGGGUCCUUCGGCAGCGAGGCCCUCCGAUCCUGGACUGCUGUGGACUCCCUGUGGACCCAGACUGGCUGUGUCGUGAUGCUUCCUUGUACGCUGCUUAGACCAAGAGCACAGGAACCUUUUCACGUUUCAAAACUAGCAAAACGAGCUGGUUAUCCAGCAGAGCCCUGAGAAAGAACACACAAGAUGGGGACACGGCGAUGGGAAUUGGGGGAGUGACAGGACUGGAAUCCAAGAGCCACCUCACAUGAGGAGGUGCCGGGUAGCUGAGGACCCCUUAAACCCUAGAAUGGAGACAAGGACCUAAAGACAAAACUUGGUGACAUGCGCCACCAUUUUAUAGGGUCGAGUUUGUAAGGCUGGUAUUCUUGGUAUUCUAGAGGUAGUGUGUUUUCUACUUGAUUCUGUGUCUAGAAUUCAGGCAGGCUCAGACACACAGGGGUGCCUGAGGUUAAGGUAACGUGACUCAAUCAGCCAGGCUUUCCCCAGUCACAGGCAGAAGAAAGACACGUUAAUUGAGCUUUAGAAAUCAAUAAAGGAUAACCCUAUUAAAGUAACA
rnacentral:lncRNA from 1 species